rnacentral:rRNA from 1 species
UGCGGUAUUAAUUCGAUGCAACGCGAAGAACCUUACCAAGGCUUGACAUACACCGGUAACGCCCAGAGAUGGGUGCCCCUUUGUGGUCGGUGUACAGGUGGUGCAUGGCUGUCGUCAGCUCGUGUCGUGAGAUGUUGGGUUAAGUCCCGCAACGAGCGCAACCCUCGUCCUAUGUUGCCAGCGGGUCAUGCCGGGGACUCAUGGGAGACUGCCGGGGUCAACUCGGAGGAAGGUGGGGAUGACGUCAAAUCAUCAUGCCCCUUAUGUCUUGGGCUUCACGCAUGCUACAAUGGCCGGUACAAAGGGCUGCGAUACCGCGAGGUGGAGCGAAUCCCAGAAAGCCGGUCUCAGUUCGGAUUGGGGUCUGCAACUCGACCCCAUGAAGUCGGAGUCGCUAGUAAUCGCAGAUCAGCAACGCUGCGGUGAAUACGUUCCCGGGCCUU